rnacentral:rRNA from 1 species
CGAGACUCAAAUAUAUUAAAUAGAUGCUUUCAGGAUUAUAAUGUUGAAGCUUAUUAUAGCCUUCAUUCAUGAUUGCACAAAUUGUGUAAAAAUGUUUGAAUGUGUUUAUAUAAGUGGAGUUAUACCUGUUGGUUUGUCCCAUUAUAAGGACACUAGCUUUUAAAUGGACAAAUU